UACGGAGGAUGCAAGCGUUAUCCGGAAUUAUUGGGCGUAAAGCGUCCGUAGGUGGUUUUUCAAGUCUGCUGUCAAAGCGUGGAGCUUAACUCCAUACCGGCAGUGGAGACUGGGAGACUAGAGUGCGAUAGGGGUAACGGGAAUUCCCAGUGUAGCGGUGAAAUGCGUAGAGAUUGGGAAGAACACCAGCGGCGAAAGCGCGUUACUGGGUCUGCACUGACACUGAGGGACGAAAGCUAGGGGAGCGAAAGGG
rnacentral:rRNA from 1 species